GUACUCGCUUUGGCAGCACAUAUAUUAAAAUUGGAAAGAUACAGAGUAGAUCAGCAUGGCCCCUGCACAAGGGUGACAUGCAAAUCCAUGAAGCAUUCCAUAUUUUU
ensembl:snRNA U6 U6 spliceosomal RNA